rnacentral:lncRNA from 1 species
GUUAGGGUUAGGUAUAGGGGAAGGGAUGACUGUUUGAUUUCCACCUCCAUUUCCAUUUACCCUUGUAGGUCAAAAUGAAGUGAAACCUUAAAAUACAAAGUGUUCAUGAUAAUGAACCAUUGAUUUGAGAAUGCCCAAAAUUUGGGAGCAUACUAAGACUAGAUAAAUGUCGAAUCCUGCACAGUAUCAAAGAAAUUUGAACAAAACUAACUCUUACCCUAACAUUACCUUUAACCAUAGCCCUAGCCCUAACCCUAACCCUAAUCCUAAAACUAGCCCUAAUUGGAACCGUAUUACUUACAUUAGGCAUGACCCUAACCCUAGCCUUAACUUAACACAAAACCUAGCCCUAAACCAAGCUGUAACCCGAGCUUUAACCCUAAACUUAACCUUAACCCUAACCCUAGCAUUAAUAAUAACCAUAACCCUAGCCCUAACCCUACAUAUCUAACCAUCCAUUACCCUAACCAUAACCCUAACCCUAAUGCUAAACCUAGGCCUAAACCUAACCUUAUCCCUAAUCUUAACCCUAUCCAUUACCCUAAAUCUAACCUGAUACCUAAACCUAACCCUAUCAUUACCCUAAUCCUAAACUUAUGCUAAUUCAAGCCCUCAAUUUAAAACUUAACCUAUCACAAACACUAAUCUUAACCCUUACCCUAAUAAUAUCCUUAGCUCUAAACCUGAACCUUACCCUAUAUCUAACCCUUACACUAGACAUAGCCAUAAACCUAACCCUAAAACUAUGUUUAACUGUAAUGUUGAACUUGAAAUUAGCCCUAGCCCUAAUCCUAGCCCUAAACCUAGCCUUAAUCCUAACCCAAAUCAUAGCCUGCACUUUAACCCUAAUGCUUACCCUCGCCCUAGACCUAAACCUAGCUAAAACCCCAUCCCUUAUCCUAAACCUAAAAAUAACCCCAAACCUUACCAUAACUCUAAACCUAAGCCUAACCCUAAACCUAACCCUAACUCUAGCCCUAACCCUAGGCCUAACACUAACACUAAGCCUAAGGCUAAUGCUAGCCCUAAUUCAGUUCUAUCGUAACCCUAACCCUAGCCCUAAGAUUAAAUCUAACUCUUGCCCUAGCCCUAGUUUUAUCCUUAGCCCUAGCCCUAACGUUAGAUCUAAACCUAACUUUAAAUCUAAACCUAACUCUAAAUUUAACCAUAACCAUAACCAUAAACCUAAACCGAACUGUAACACUAGCUCUAACAUUAAUGCUAAUCCUAAAACUUGCCCUAUCCCUAGCCCUAACUAAAAAAGAAAACCUAGUUAUAUCCCUGACCCUAACCCUUAACCUAAACCAAACCUUAACCUUACACCUAGCCCUAAUCCUAACUCUAAAACUAACCCUGACCCUGAUACUGACCAUAACAUUAAUUCUAGCUCUAAACAUCACCCUAACAUUAAAUUAACCCUAACUUGAGACCUCGCCUUAACCCUAACACUAAAACUAGCCCUAAUCGCAAUCCUAGUUCAUACAUUAGUCAUUUUCAUAACGCUAUCCCUAGCCCUAACAAAUAUCCUACACUUAAUCUGAUCCCUAAUCCUAGCUUUAACCCUAAUCUUAACCCUAACACUAGCCCUAACUCUAACCCUAACCCUAGCCUUUACCCUAAGCCAAAACAUUACCCAAAUGCUAACCCUAGUCCUAACCCUAAUCCUUAGCCUAACUUAAACCCUAAACAUAUUACUAGUCCUAACUCUAGCCCUCAUUCUAGCUCUAACUGAUUAAGUGUGUGAAAUUUCAACAUCUGUCUAAGUAAUUGGGGGAAGUAUUUCCGUAUAUUUAUAUUGCCCUCUUUCCUCCUAAAGUGCAGUCUGAUAACGUUUCUUUGCAUGCUUCAGCUUGGGGAAACUUUCACAAGGAAGAAAACAGAGAGUGCCCACAGAGAACUGAUUCAAUGUGUGAAGUUUUAAGCAGCUAGCAUCAACUCUGUUUGAUUUCCAGCUCCAUUUCCAUUUACCCAUAUAGGUCAACAUAGAGUGAAACCUUAAAAUGCAAACUAUUCCUGACAGCAAUCUGCUGAACCAAGAAGGCCCAAACCUGGGGAACAAAGUAAGGCUAGGUCAAAGAUGAAUCCUGCCCAGUAUCAAAGAUAUUUGAACAAAAGUAACUCUAAUCUUAACCUAUCUAUAACCCUGGUCCUAACACUAACCCUAUUCUGUUUAGAGAGCCUUUGGUUAUAUAACGCCCAAAGUUGGGGAGCCUAGUGGGGCAAAGUAAAAGAUGAUUACAGUGCAGGAUCAAAAAUGUUUGAUCAAAUAAUUGGUUGAGGUAGUUCAGUCCAUGAAUAGUCUCCUGUUUUAUUCUAAAGUGCUUUUGGAUAAAGUUGUUUUUGUAUGCUUCAGCUUAGGCUACUUUCACAAGGAAGAAAUCAGAGAGAGCACAGAGAGAAC